rnacentral:siRNA from 1 species
AUCAAGAGGGAGGGCAAUAAGAUA